CCUUGCUGGUGUAGGCCUGGCUGGCUGCGGAAGGCUGUGUGUAGUACUGGGUGACUGCCUGCAUGUAGGAGCCAUAUUCUCCAUAGGAUGACACAGCAGGAGACUGGAACACACCAGGAAACACACAUUCAUGGCUUGCCCUCUAUUUGUCAAGAGUUCAUCAUCAACGUGGAUGAUGAAGGAAGAAACAAAGAAA